rnacentral:rRNA from 1 species
GAAAAGAAACUAACAAGGAUUCCCCUAGUAACUGCGAGUGAAGAGGGAAAAGCUCAAAUUUAAAAUCUGGCAGUCCUGAUUGUCCGAGUUGUAAUUUAGAGAAGUGUUACCCGCGUUGGACCGUGUACAAGUCUCCUAGAAAUGGAGCGUCAUAGAGGGUGAGAAUCCCGUCUUUGACACGGACUACCAAGGCUUUGUGGUGCGCUCUCGAAGAGUCGUGUUGUUUGGGAAUGCAGCACUAAAUGGGUGGUAAAUUCCAUCUAAAGCUAAAUAUUGGCGAGAGACCGAUAGCGAACAAGUACCGUGAGGGAAAGAUGAAAAGAACUUUGGAAAGAGAGUUAAACAGUACGUGAAAUUGCUGAAAGGGAAACGCUUGAAGUCAGUCGCGUUGGCUAGGGAUCAACCUUGCUUUUGUGGGGUGUACUUCCUAGUUAACGGGUCAACAUCAGUUUUGACUGCUGGAAAAAGGCUAGAGAAAUGUGACAAUCCGGUUGUGUUAUAGUCUGUGGUCAUAUACAGUGGUUGGGACUGAGGAACUCAGCACGCCGCAAGGCCGGGUUUUUAACCACGUUCGUGCUUAGGAUGUUGGCAUAAUGGCUUUAAGCGACCCGUCUUGAAACACGGACCAAGGAGUCUAACAUGCCUGCGAGUAUUUGGAUGGAAAACCCGAGUGCGUAAUGAAAGUGAAAGUUGAGAUCCCUGUCGUGGGGAGCAUCGACGCCCAUACCUGAGCUUCUGUGACGGAUAUGCGGUUGAGCAUGUAUGUUGGGACCCGAAAGAUGGUGAACUAUGCCUGAAUAGGGUGAAGCCAGAGGAAACUCUGGUGG